rnacentral:rRNA from 1 species
CCUACGGGUGGCAGCAGUGAGGAAUAUUGGUCAAUGGGCUUACGCCUGAACCAGCCAAGCCGCGUGAGGGAGGAAGGCGCAGAGCGUCGCAGACCUCUUUUGCCGGGGGACAAAAGGCCGGACUCGUCCGGUCCUGAGGGUACCCGGAGAAAAAGCAUCGGCUCACUCCGUGCCAGCAGACGCGGUAAUACGGAGGAUGCGAGCGUUAUCCGGAUUCAUUGGGUUUAAAGGGUGCGCAGGCGGGCCUUUAAGCCGGCGGGGAAAUCGCGGGGCUCAACCCCGCCGAGCCGUCGGAACUGGGGGCCGUGAGGGCGGCGGAGGCAUGCGGAAUGCGCGGUGUAGCGGUGAAAUGCAUAGAUAUCGCGCAGAACCCCGAUUGCGAAGGCAGCGGGCCGUGCCGCCACUGACGCUGAGGCACGAAAGCGCGGGGAUCGAACAGGAUUAGAUACCCUGGUAGUC